rnacentral:rRNA from 1 species
CAAUAGCGUAUAUUAAAGUUGUUGCAGUUAAAAAGCUCGUAGUUGGACUUCUGCGGGUGGCGGCCGGUCGUGCUCGAAACGGGCGUGAACUUGGCGUGCUGCCCGGAUCUUUGGGGAGAUUGUGCGUGGCAUUAAGUUGUCGUGCAUGGGAUUCUCAUCAUUUACUGUGAAAAAAUUAGAGUGUUUAAAGCAGGCCUUUGCCUUGAAUACAUUAGCAUGGAAUAAUAAGAUAGGACCGUUGUCUAUUUUGUUGGUUUACAGAUGUCGGUAAUGAUUAAUAGGGAUAGUUGGGGGUAUUCGUAUUCAGUUGUCAGAGGUGAAAUUCUUGGAUUUUCGGAAGACGCACGACUGCGAAAGCAUUUACCAAGGAUGUUUNCAUUAA